rnacentral:ncRNA from 1 species
UGGGAGGCCCUUGGGGCCUCACAACACACAUAUUGUUAAGGCCUUGCCACCUAUUUCAUGGCAUCUAAUUAUUAUAUAUU